rnacentral:rRNA from 1 species
CCGUAGCCCAAGAGAUCGGGAUAACACCUGGAAACAGAUGCUAAUACCGGAUAACAAACAGAUGAUGCCUAUCAACUGUUUAAAAGAUGGUUCUGCUAUCACUCUUGGAUGGACCUGCGGUGCAUUAGCUAGUUGGUAGGGUAACGGCCUACCAAGGCGAUGAUGCAUAGCCGAGUUGAGAGACUGAUCGGCCACAUUGGGACUGAGACACGGCCCAAACUCCUACGGGAGGCAGCAGG